ACCUAUUGGCAGUCGAUCGUGCAGAUAAUGUCACCGUCGUCUGCACUCUGUUGUGCUGUUGUGCAUGAAAUCCAAAAUUUCAAGACCUUCGAAAUGUUGCUUGAAGUUGACAUUUGAUAUUCAAAACUUGACCAGAAAAUUUAUUCAUUCAUAGGAGGUAACCUAGUAACUUGUAGAAGAUGGAAGACCGAACCGCCAAAGCCCUUUGUAUUCUGACGUUUGUGGCAGGAUUUGCACUCGGAUAUAAAGCUAAGGAAUGGAGAAUUUUAUGGUUGAAGAGAAGAAGAGACAGACUGGCCUCUCAAUUGCGUGAAGCUCAAAAAGAAUUAGAGUUGCUCCAGAAGGCACAUUAAGGAGUUUCAGAGAGAAUUUGGUGCCACUGUAAAAACUUCAUGCUUCUGAGGGCUUCUAAUUGUAAUCCACAUAUUUCUACUCUGUACAUUAAAGAGAUAUUUCUUGACCA